rnacentral:rRNA from 1 species
UGGGGAAUCUUGCACAAUGGGGGCAACCCUAAUGCAGCGACGCCGCGUGAGCGAUGAGGCCCUUCGGGGUGUAAAGCUCUUUCGGUAGGAACGAUAAUGACGGUACCUGAAGAAGAAGCUGCGGCUAACUACGUG